rnacentral:sRNA from 1 species
GCUGGGAGUGGUGGUGCAUGCCUGUAAUCCCAGCGGCUUGGGAGGCUGAGGAAGGAGGAUCAGAAAUUCGAGGUCAUCCUCAGCAAGUUAGUGAAGCCCUGAACAACUUGAUGAGACCCUGCUUCAA